rnacentral:lncRNA from 1 species
AGGCUUUUAUGAAGGCCAUUUUUUUUAGGCUUUGGCUAGCCCAGAUAGGUUCCCAACCUCAGGUGAUGAGGGUUGAGAAGCCAUCAACAACAACAAAAAACCCAUUAAGGUUGGUAGACUUUAGAAAAGCAAGUCGUUACUAAAUAAGACUCACAUUUCCUUUCAAUCUUUUACCCACAUUUUCUUCAGAGAUGCAGAGAAGCAAACUUUUUUUUUUAAGAACCACCAGUAUGAGGAUAUAGACAGCUCAAGACGUAUGCAGAAAAAUAAACAGAAACAUACAUCCAAAGUGCUUCACCUCAUAAUGGCAAUGAAGCAGGCAGUGGAGGUGCAACAAGGGACAGUGGAGUGAAUGGUGUUAUAUGCUGAGGCAGUGAGGGUGGUCCAGGUGAGAAGGGUGUUAUAUGCUGAGGCAGUGAGGGUGGUCCAGGAGAGAAGGGUGUUAUAUGCUGAGGCAGUGAGGGUGGUCCAGGAGAGAAGGGUGUUAUAUGCUGAGGCAGUGAGGGUGGUCCAGGAGAGAAGGGUGUUAUAUGCUGAGGCAGUGAGGGUGGUCCAGGAGAGAAGGGUGUUAUAUGCUGAGGCAGUGAGGGUGGUCCAGGAGAGAAGGGUGUGUGAUGGAACAUUUUAUGUUGUUGCUUUUCUAUUUACCAAUUUUUAUGUUCUAUGUUUUUCUAUAAACCUAUUUCUGUGUUCAUGCAAGUGACUGAUUAAACGAAUUCUCACUAUCAGUGUCUGCAAUUUGGAAGUACGCCCAGAACCUUGUUUAGAGAAAGGAAUAUCUCAGCUUAGAGAGAAGAAGCCUCGUGAGGUAUUGGUAUGUCAGAGUUCUGUCCUACUAUCCAGGUCUGUACCUAAACAAUUUGAACUUCUACUUUUAAAAAUCCACCUCUCUAGAAACAAGUCUCUCACCGUUGCCGCCUGCUAUAGACCACCCUCUGCCCCCAGCUGUGCCCUGGACACCAUAUGUGAAUUGAUUGGCCCCCAUCUAUCUUCAGAGCUCGUGCUGCCAGGUGACCUAAACUGGGAGAUGCUUAACACCCCAGCCUUCCUACAAUCAAAGCUUGAUGCCCUCAAUCUCACACAAAUUAUCAAUGAACCUACCUUGUACCACCCCAACAUGGGCACCCUCAUAGAUACCAUCCUAACCAACUUGCCCUCUAAAUACACCUCUGCUGUUUUCAACCAAGAUCUCAGCGAUCACUGCCUCAUUGCCUGCACCCGUAAUUGGUCAGCGGUCAAACGACCUCCACUCAUCACUGUCAAACGCUCCCUGAAACACUUCAGCGAGCAAGCCUUUCUAAUCGACCUGGCCCGGGUAUCCUGGAAGGAUAUUGACCUCAUCCCGUCAGUAGAGGAUGCCUGUUUAUUUUUUUUAAAUGCCUUCCUCACCAUCUUAAACAAGCAUGCCCCAUUCAAGAAAUGCUGAACCAGGAACAGAUAUAGCCCUUGGUUUUCUCCAGACCUGACUGCCCUUAACCAACACAAAAACAUCCUGUGGUGUUCUGCAUUAGCAUUGAACAGCCCCCGUGAUAUGAUAGGCCCUUUCUUAACAAAAUUAUCUGCCGAAAUUGUUGCAACCCCUAUUACGAGCCUGUUCAACCUCUCUUUCGUGUCGUCUGAGAUUCCCAAAAAUUGGAAAGCAGCUGCGGUCUUCCCCCUCUUCAAAGGGGGGGACACUCUUGACCCAAACUGCUACAGACCUAUAUCUAUCCUACCCUGCCUUUCUAAGGUCUUCGAAAGCCAAGUCAACAAACAGAUUACCGACCAUUUCAAAUCCCA